rnacentral:lncRNA from 7 species
AUGUUUAUAAUUACAGUUUGGCUAAAAUAUAAUCCCUAAUUAUAUUAUGAUUUAACUUAAAGUUGAAUUAAUUAUUAAUUUAGGUUAUUUUCUCACAUGAUCUAUUAAAUCAACAUAAGGCCUAGUUUUAAGUGCUUAAAUUGCAUGGAUCUUUGGAAAACCAUAACUUCACAGUAGUAACUCCAAAUUUAGUCGUUCUCGAAUCCGCGAUCUCGUAGCGACGCGUAGAUUAUUAUUACACAGUUUAUUCUUAUGUUUGGUGUGAUGUUAAUUUUGCAUAUACCAUGUUGGUUUGUAUUGCUACGAUUAGCAGCGAGGUUACGAAUCUUGAAGAUCAUCCUGGUACCUAGAAUCUCAAGUCCCAGGCAAGUUGUGCCCUUGAUCACUUCUUUUUACCUACUCAUGUUCUGAUUAUUCAUAAUGAUUUGCAUAGGUUAACUUUGAUGGGACCCAAUAGGUUACCCUAGAUUGUUUAUCUCAUUACCUUGUUUACCCCUGAAUCACUUGGGUAGUUUGCUAUUGCUUUACAUGGAUUUGGGAUAAUUAUUUAUCGUAUCUAUGUUCCAGUUAUUUUGUUAUUCUAUUUAUGUUUAUGUCAAGAUCAUUAAUGUUAAUUGGAACAUAGAGCUUAACUUGAGAAACACGUGCCACCACAAGGGUUUAUGGACGCCCUUGGCUGAUUAAUUAGGAAAGCUAGUGGAGGACUACCUUACUCGAAAGGGGCAAGGGCAGUAGGGGAGUGGUCAGUGUAGGGAGGUCCUUGCUUGAUUUUGCUGCGAUGGCGGUCAGGCAAGAACCCUGCAUUGGAGCUUCCUAUAAAUUGUAGCGGGUUUUCUGAAGCUAGUGGAACUUUGUAAAGGCCUCGUAGUGUUACCCUGCCUCGCCUCCUCGGUAGAGGUGUAUGGGAAGUCGUGAUCCCCUUGGCAGAUGGGUAACAUGACUUGUGGGUAAAGGGUACCACCUCUGCAGAGUGUAAAACUGGUAUACUAGCCGAGCUCACGGUCAUGAGCAGCUCAGGACUCUCUGAUGAUUAACUUAUGGAACUAAAUUCAAUUUGUCAUAUGCAUUGCAUCGCAGGUGAAGUUGUUACUUUUGUUCUACUACUUAAUUGGGUUGGUAUUUAUUUAUACUUAGUAAUUGCUAAUAAAAUUUUGACCAACUUUAAAAGCAAUGCUCAGCUCUAACCAUCCUCUUUGGUAAGCCUUACACUUCAUGUGAGCUCCCACCUUUGGCGAGUUCAUGCACAUUAUUCCCCACAACUUGUUGAGCGAUGAAAGUAUGUGAGCUCACUCUUGCUGUCUCACACCCCCCACAGGUCAAGAACAGGUACCACAGGAUGAGGCGCAUGGAGGAUGCUGCGAUGUGUUCGUGAGAGGUCUAGGCCGUUGUCUCCCAGCCAACUUUGGGUUGCUGGACCGUUAUCUCCUUAUAAUGUAAUUAUUUAUUUAUUUUGUAUAGAACUUCUGUUAUAUAGUAAAGAUGUGACAUUCGAU